rfam:Otolemur garnettii contig162487, whole genome shotgun sequence.
CCAAAGGCUCUUUUCAGAGCCACCCAUCUAAUCACCAGAAAAGAG